rnacentral:rRNA from 1 species
UACGUAGGGUGCAAGCGUUAAUCGGAAUUACUGGGCGUAAAGCGUGCGCAGGCGGUUGUGCAAGACCGAUGUGAAAUCCCCGGGCUUAACCUGGGAAUGGCAUUGGUGACUGCACGGCUAGAGUGUGUCAGAGGGGGGUAGAAUUCCACGUGUAGCAGUGAAAUGCGUAGAGAUGUGGAGGAACACCGAUGGCGAAGGCAGCCCCCUGGGCUAAGAUUGACGCUCAUGCACGAAAGCGUGGGGAGCAGACAGG